AAAGGAAUUGACGGGGGCCCGCACAAGCAGCGGAGCAUGUGGUUUAAUUCGAAGCAACGCGAAGAACCUUACCAGGGCUUGACAUCCCCCUGACUGGUGCAGAGAUGCAUCUUUUCUUCGGAACAGGGGAGACAGGUGGUGCAUGGUUGUCGUCAGCUCGUGUCGUGAGAUGUUGGGUUAAGUCCCGCAACGAGCGCAACCCUUAUCUUUAGUUGCCAACACGUGAUGGUGGGGACUCUAGAGAGACUGCCGGGGACAACUCGGAGGAAGGUGGGGACGACGUCAAAUCAUCAUGCCCCUUAUGUCCUGGGCUACACACGUGCUACAAUGGCCUGUAACAAAGGGAAGCGAAGGCGCAAGUCGGAGCGAACCCCAGAAACCAGGUCCCAGUUCGGAUUGUGGGCUGCAACCCGCCCACAUGAAGUCGGAGUUGCUAGUAAUCGCGAAUCAGCAUGUCGCGGUGAAUGCGUUCCCGGGCCUUGUACACACCGCCCGU
rnacentral:rRNA from 1 species